GUGUCUUGCCUGGAAGGGCAAAGGGCUGGGUCCUCUGCUAGCCUCCAACAACUGACAGGAGUCUCAGUCACUAGACUGGCAGUCUCUAGGACUAUUGAAAGAACCCAGAAUCCCAAGCGGCUGGAGCCCUGGGGGCCAACCGGCCAGAGCCUUCCCUGGAGCAAAUCCUGAAGGAGAGGGAUGAAGCCAUUGCAAAGAAGCAAGCGGUGGAAGCUGAGCUGGACACCUGCAGAGCCAGGUUGCGCACAGUGGAGGCUCAGCUGCUGGAGGUCCUGCAGGAGAAACUGAGGCUGAAGCAGGAGGUGGAGGCCUGGGAGGAAGACAUGCAACGGAUGGUUCAGGAGCGGGUGCAGAGUCAAAUGCAGGGAGACUCCAGGGGUGCUCUGGGCACGCAAAAGAACACAAGUGCUGGCAGGGGCUCCUGGGCCCAACUCUCCCGGAGCCAGAGGGGACAAUGGUGGUGAAAACAGAUCCCAGAACUUUAAGGGAACUGUCUUUAUUCAUUAAAGUAUUGGAGCCCCUCUGUA